rnacentral:rRNA from 1 species
GACGAACGCUGGCGGCGUGCUUAACACAUGCAAGUCGAACGGAAAGGCCCUGAUUUUGUGGGGUUCUCGAGUGGCGAACGGGUGAGUAACACGUGAGUAACCUGCCCUUGACUUUGGGAUAACUUCAGGAAACUGGGGCGAAUACCGGAUAGGAGCUCCUGAAGCAUGGUGGGGAUUGGAAAGUUUCGGCGGUUGGGUCUGGACUCGCGGCUUAUCAGCUUGUUGGUGGGGUAGGGGCUUACCAAGGCUUUGAAGGGUAGCCGGCCUGAGAGGGUGACCGGCCACAUUGGGCCUGAGGUACGGCCCAGACUCCUACGGGAGGCAGCAGGGGGGAAUAUUGCACAAUGGGCGGAAGCCUGAUGCAGCAACGCCGCGUGCGGGAUGACGGCCUUCGGGUUGUAAACCGCUUUCGCCUGUGCCGAAGCGUGAGUGACGGUAAUGGGUAAAGAAGCACCGGCUAACUACGUG